rnacentral:tRNA from 1 species
UAUACCUUAGUAUAUGAUGUACAUUAAUUUUUGAUAUUAAAAGUAAAAGUUUGAAUCUUUUAGGUAUAA